rnacentral:rRNA from 1 species
UACGUAGGGGGCAAGCGUUGUCCGGAAUCAUUGGGCGUAAAGAGCGUGUAGGCGGCCCGGUAAGUCCGCCGCGAAAGUCCAGGGCUCAACCCUGGAAUGCCGGUGGAAACUGCCGGGCUGGAGUCCGGAAGAGGCGAGUGGAAUUCCUGGUGUAGCGGUGAAAUGCGCAGAUAUCAGGAGGAACACCAAUGGCGAAGGCAGCUCGCUGGGACGGUACUGACGCUGAGGCGCGAAAGCGUGGGGAGCGAACAGG